GUGCCAGCCGCCGCGGUAAUACGGAAGGUGCAAGCGUUAUCCGGAAUCACUGGGUUUAAAGGGUGCGUAGGCGGUUGCGUAAGUCAGAAGUGAAAGCUCACAGCUUAACUGUGGAAUUGCUUUUGAUACUGCGCGACUAGAAUCAGGUUGAGGUUGGCGGAAUGUGACAUGUAGCGGUGAAAUGCAUAGAUAUGUCAUAGAACACCAAUUGCGAAGGCAGCUGACUGGACCUGUAUUGACGCUGAGGCACGAAAGCGUGGGGAGCGAACAGGAUUAGAUACCCUGGUAGUCCACGCCCUAAACGAUGCUUACUCGAUGUGUGAAUUAUUGCGCAUCCAAGGGAAACCGUUAAGUAAGCCACCUGGGGAGUACGUUCGCAAGAAUGAAACUCAAAGAAAUUGACGG
rnacentral:rRNA from 1 species